AGUCUUGUUUAAGUUGCAUUGAUCAUAUUUGAUGCAGGUUGCAGCCAUUUUCAAUGUAUUGCAUAACACCCCUCCUAUACCUGAAACAUUGUCAUCUGAGGGCACGGACUUUUUGCGGUGCUGCUUUCAGAGACUUCCUGAGGAGAGGCCAUCUGCUGCAAUGUUACUAGAACAUCCCUUCGUGAAGAAGUCGGAGCAGCUGGAUGGACCAUCUUGCAACUGAGCAUUUAACGGGAAGAACUUGAUGAAAGGGAAAAACUGCUACUGGCUUUUUCUCAUGGGUUCUGCUGAUAUGCAGCUGUGGAAAUUGUAUUACAUACUUCACAGAUGCUAUAGUAGGUGACUUGCAGCCAUA